rnacentral:rRNA from 1 species
AUUGAACGCUGGCGGCAGGCCUAACACAUGCAAGUCGAGCGGCAGCGGGAAAGUAGCUUGCUACUUUUGCCGGCGAGCGGCGGACGGGUGAGUAAUGCCUGGGGAUCUGCCCAGUCGAGGGGGAUAACUACUGGAAACGGUAGCUAAUACCGCAUACGCCCUACGGGGGAAAGCAGGGGACCUUCGGGCCUUGCGCGAUUGGAUGAACCCAGGUGGGAUUAGCUAGUUGGUGAGGUAAUGGCUCACCAAGGCGACGAUCCCUAGCUGGUCUGAGAGGAUGAUCAGCCACACUGGAACUGAGACACGGUCCAGACUCCUACGGGAGGCAGCAGUGGGGAAUAUUGCACAAUGGGGGAAACCCUGAUGCAGCCAUGCCGCGUGUGUGAAGAAGGCCUUCGGGUUGUAAAGCACUUUCAGCGAGGAGGAAAGGUUGGUAGCUAAUAACUGCCAGCUGUGACGUUACUCGCAGAGGAAGCACCGGCUAACUCCGUGCCAGCCGCCGCAGUAAAAC